rnacentral:rRNA from 1 species
UACAGAGGGUGCGAGCGUUGUCCGGAUUUAUUGGGCGUAAAGAGCUCGUAGGCGGUUUGUCGCGUCGGCCGUGAAAUCUCCACGCUUAACGUGGAGCGUGCGGUCGAUACGGGCAGACUUGAGUUCGGUAGGGGAGACUGGAAUUCCUGGUGUAGCGGUGAAAUGCGCAGAUAUCAGGAGGAACACCGGUGGCGAAGGCGGGUCUCUGGGCCGAUACUGACGCUGAGGAGCGAAAGCGUGGGGAGCGAACAGG